rnacentral:lncRNA from 1 species
AAUAAUACAACAUACACAAACACACGGAUAGACAACAUAUAAACACAGAAUACCCUAUUUUGAACACUGACCAAAAAAGGGAAAAAGAACACCAAAAAGAUGAGUUGCGUCUCGAUUCCAGAUACGCACACACUAGUAGAGUUCGAAAGAGAUGAAAAACGGGUAGAUAUUAGGGAGGUCGAAAUAAAAAUAGCGAGAUAGAGAGGAUCGAAGAGGAUAAAGAGUGAGAGUAACAGAGUGAUAUUUAAAAGAAACAAAAAUCAAAAGAGAGAGAGGUAGUAAGAAUUGAAAAAAGGGGGAUACAGCUCUAGCGAGUUUUGCCUGUGAGCUACCGAAAUCUGGUCCUCUUCAUUGGUUAUUGUUGUUUCCUGAGUUAGCCGGAUCUUUGUUGACACAAUUAUAACAACUUUGCUUUGAAUAUGACCAAACCCCAAUGGAAUUCCGACCAAAAUCAGCUUAGACCGACACGUCUCCAUCAGAUUCCAUCGAACACUACCAGAAAAGGGUCAAAACAGUGACAGGGACUACGGGUUCAGGUAUGGUUAUCUCAUUAUUUCUCGAUUUCUUUUUGGUUCAACGAAAAAUGGAACAAGAGGGUUAUACCGAGUUGGCGUUCAUUUUUUAUUGAAGUUGUUCGCUUAAGGAUUCCGAUUUGGGCUGGCUCAAGGUUUUGGAUCGAUGAAGCUCCUUCGUUUAAUUGAAUAAUACUCGAUUUAAAGUGGCAUUAAGGUCUACUUCUCAUCUCAUUCUCGUUUAAUUCUAAUUGUUUGAUACAUUGUGUGUUUAAAUUAUGGUGGGCGGAUUUCAUAUUUGUUGAUUUUGAUAUAUUUUGGAUCAUAGUGGUUGGUUGUUGACGCCGAUCGAUUGAUUGUUGUGAAUUGGAAUAAUCAAAGAACUUAGACUCAAUUUUGGGUUAAAUUGCAAUUUAGGGUGAUAUAAAAUGUUGUCUAAUUAGCAAUUUCACUUAAUUUAUUUAAUUUGUCAUCUUGAUUGAUUUUGACGUUGUUAAAUGUGGUAGCAGCAUGAUAAGUUGGAAGUAAUAGGCAAGUGUAGGUUGGGUAGGAAAAGUUUAGAAUUUGUGGUUUUGUUGAACGUUUGAAAGUUCGUUGAGUGGUUUGAUUUUCUCUCCCUAAAAAUAUAUUCAUUUAGCCGGUGAAUGCCCCGAGACACAUUGUAUUUAUUCACCGGGUAAUGCCCCAAUGUAUUAUGUUGGCAGAAAACAUUCGUGAUGAAGGCCCGAGGCAUCGGGUAAAAAUUGGAACAUAGUUUAG